GAGUAUUAAAAAUUUAAUAGUCGCAUUUCGCUUCUUCACACUUUUCAAACUCAUUUCUUUUCCUCUCCCUCGAAACCGAAGGUUAGGAUAAUGGGUAAAAUAUUUUGUUUUUCUUUUGUUUACUAUGCUUUUGAGGUAGAGUAUGUUUAGGUCUUAACAGUUCUCUAUUUAUGUUCAUCGAAAUUAUUUGGGGUUAGCUUAAAAUCACUACAAAGUUAAAUGUCUCCAUCUCUGCAAGUCCCGCAAUAUAUAUAUUUUUGUGAAAAAUUUUGAACUUGGGAGAAAGAUAUCUAAUUCUUAUAGAUUGGUUUAUUUUUCUAUAUGAACCUUUCUUCUUCAUUGACUUCUCUUAAUCUGUUUGGGUGUCGUAUGCAAUGGAAUUUCUCUUAAUCUACCUCGAAUACAACUAAAUAAAAAUUCAUAUUUUUUCAACCAUUCUUCUGAAAAUUUAUUGUUUGUUUUGCAGUAUCUUUAAAGUGUAAUAUUUUUUUUCUGGGUUUGAUUAAAUGGAGAAAAAUAAGGAUGACGAUUAUGGAGAGGAAGAAGAUUCAGAGUAUGUAUUACUUGAUCUUGAAGCUGUUCGUGCGCAGAUUGACAUCCCUCCAAAUGCACCUUAUACUCUUUUGUAAGUUCUAAAUUUUUAUAUGUUACAAAUUUGUUAAGGUUUUUUUGCA
rnacentral:lncRNA from 1 species